GACACGAAAGAUGGUCAACUAUGCCUGAGUGGGGCGAAGCUAGAGGAAACUCUGGUGGAGCCCCAUAGCGAUACUGACGUGAAAAUCGUUCAUCUAACUUGUGUAUAGGGGCGAAAGACAUUUCGAACCAUCUAGUAGCUGG
rnacentral:ncRNA from 1 species